AAAGGAACGGGAAGGAUCUCCCUCCAAAUCCAACGCCCACGGAUUAAUCAAUUUCCAUCAACAACAAUUCUACGCGAUUCGAGAAGAAUAACAUUUUGUUUUUCUUUGAAUUCUUCAAUUCGAUGAAGAGGAAGACAUGGUUGAAGGCUUCGAUUUUCCUUCUACUCCUAUUAGGGCUUCUGCUCGCCUUACCGACGCGCGCUUUCGCCGAAUCGUCGACGUGCCUGACGCUCUACAGAGAAGGCGGUGCUCCGGCGGUUUUUCAAUCCCCAAAAUGCCCUCGCUGGAAGCUUUCCGAUUACGCUUCCCAUUCGUCGAGCACCGAGCGAUGCCAAUUGGCCAUGCUUCAAGGUCGCAGAUACGCUCAGGAGGAUCGAGCUCUAUGCGCUCUCGAUCUUCGCAUCCCCUUCCCCGGAGCUGUAGGGCUUAAGGAGGUAAUCGUUGGAGUUGUGGCUGUUUUUGAUGGUCAUAACGGCGCCGAAGCUAGUGAGAUGGCUUCAAAGCUUUUGUUGGAAUAUUUCUUUUUACAUACUUAUUUUCUUCUCGAUGCAACAUAUUCUGCUGUAUUCAAGAGAUCCAUGGGAAGACUGCUAAAUAAUAGAGAUGGUGAUACUGUCUUUCAAUCGCUUAUUUGGGAUGAAGUGCUGAGUCAUUAUGAGUUGGAUCGUGGAAGGUCUAAGCAUUCACUGCCAGAAAAUGUUAUCCAUUCUUCUCACUUGGAAAUUCUGAAGGAAGCAUUAUUGAGAGCAAUCCAUGACAUUGAUGCAACAUUUUCAAAGGAAGCAGCUAGAAAAAAUUUAGAGUCAGGUUCAACAGCCACAGUUGUUCUAUUAGCAGAUGGUCAAAUUUUAGUUGCCAAUAUUGGAGACUCGAAGGCCUUUUUGUGCUCCGAAAAAUUCCAGUCUCCUACAGAGGCCAAAGGCACUUAUUUAAGGUUAUAUAGGCAGGAAAGACAUAAUGGUGCUGUAUCACGUGUAAGAAAUAAUGAUCACUUUAGACUGGCUUCCUCCAGUGAACUGGUGCAUUUUUCUGUGGAAGAAUUAACAAAGGAUCAUCACCCCAACAGAGAUGAUGAAAGAUUGCGCGUGGAAAAUGCUGGUGGUUAUGUUGUUGAUUGGGGUGGUGUUCCUCGAGUAAAUGGUCAGCUAGCUGUUUCUCGGGCUAUUGGUGAUGUGUCCUUUAAAAGUUAUGGUGUUAUAUCUGCACCAGAAGUGACAGAUUGGCGGCCACUGACUGCAAAUGAUAGCUAUCUGGUGGCUACAUCUGAUGGAAUUUUUGAGAAGUUAAGCUUGCAGGAUGUUUGUGAUCUGACAUGGGAAAUAGAGAAUCAUGGUCCUCGUAGAUCAAAGCUCUCUACUUCCUGUUUGUACUCAUUAGCUGACUGCAUAGUAAAUAUGGCUUUUGAAAAGGGCAGUAUGGAUAAUGUGGCAGCUGUUGUUGUUCCCUUAGCCUCUACGGGUUUCUCUAAGAGCCUGCCAAAGGAACGAUUAAACAAAGAGGAAGACAAAGGCUUCCCAGCAUUAGGGUUACAAAAGUCAAUAUACGAUUUCUCAGUCAAUGAGAUCACUCCUGACAUUGUCCAAGUGAAGCGUGCCCAUCCAGUUAUGACCAAGUUUGAGAGGUUAUUGGUAGAAGGGAAACAUGCCUAUAUUGGCUGCUUUUAUUUAUUCGAGAACCUUGCUGAACAUUAUGCAUUGCAAACUGAAAAGGUUGACUAUGAAGAUUAUGAUGUACCUAAGGCUCUUCCCGGGUCCCUUGACCACCAUUUUAGUGGAUCUGUAAAUUUAUAUCAUGACCACGAAUUGUGCUUUAGUCUUGGAGUGACUGUUGAUGGAGCUAAAAAUCAGUGCAUAAACCCUGAUGGUUUUGCUAGUUUUGUUGGUUUUCUUGAAUCGAUUCCUUUUCAUGAUGCUGGUUUGGGGAACGGAUCCUUUGAAUAUGAUAUUCCUAACUUGAGCUAUGUACUAAAGAAGAGGUUUGGUCGUGGAUCAUAUGGGGAAGUAUGGCUGGCUUUUCAUUGGGAUUGUUAUAAAGGCAGCAAUUCUUCAGAUGGGAGUGGGAGCAACAAUAAUGGAUCAUUUAAUUCUAUUCCAUUUGGCUCACAAAUGAGGAAUACUAGCUCGUUUAUUCACGAAUGUCACUCUGGACCCCUUGAUGACAAAUUGUUCAUUUUGAAACGUAUAAUGGUGGAGAGAGGGGCUCCUGUUUACUUAAGCGGCCUACGUGAGAAAUAUUUUGGAGAAGUCUUUCUGAAUGCUUCAAAGUGUGUUGGUGGUUUACCAUCAGCUGGAGCUUUAAGCUCUCUCCUGAAAGAAUCACAGUUAGGUUUCUAUGACAUAAUAGAAACUGAUGAAUCCGUGGUAUGUGGGAUAGGUAACAGUUGGAGCUUUGAAAAUAUGAUGCAAGACAAAUUUAGACUGCGGAGGGGUUUCUAUGAAGAAGGUUUGAAUCAUAUUGCUAGAUUUGUAGAAUCUUUUGAAUCUCGAGCUAAUGAAAUAUGGCUUGUAUUUCGAUACGAGGGCGUGUCAUUGUCAAAGCUUUUAUAUACUCUGGAAGAAGUAGAUAAAACUUCCAGUGAGGAAAGUGCGGGGAACGGGAAGACUGCCCAGAUGUUGCAUCCAUCGAAAUGGUGGCAUUGGUUGAAGACGACAGCAGCAGGACAAGACGAGAUGCGAAGUCUUAUAUGGCAGUUGUUGAUGGCGCUCAAGUCAUGUCAUGACCGCAAUAUCACCCACAGAGAUAUCAAACCUGAGAACAUGGUGGUAUGCUUCAAAGAUCAGAAAACUGGAAGAUGUUUGAAUGAGAUUCCAAAUGGAGAUAGUAACUUCACCACUGAAAUGCGCAUAAUCGACUUUGGAAGUGCUAUGGACGAGUUUACACUGAAGCAUUUGUACGGUUCUACUGGACCUUCGAGGGCUGAACAAACUAACGAGUACACUUCUCCUGAGGCUUUAUUGAAUGCUAGUUGGCAUCAGGGGCCAAUAAGCACAAAUUUGAAGUAUGAUAUGUGGAGUGUCGGUGUUGUGAUCUUAGAAUUGGUCUUAGGCUCGCCAAAUGUUUUUCAGAUUAGUGCUUAUACACGUUCUCUCUUAGACCAGCAUUUAGAAGGUUGGAAUGACAAUUUAAAGGAGCUUGCAUAUAAACUUCGGUCAUUUAUGGAGCUGUGUAUUUUAGUCCAUGGGGAUUCUUCAAAUCAUCACCGAGUUGGCGUGUCACCAGCUUCCUGGAAAUGCUCAGAAGAAUUCUUUUCCUAUCAAAUUAAGAGUAGAGAUCCACUUAAAUUAGGGUUCCCCAAUGUUUGGCUUUUGCGGCUAGUGCGACAUCUAUUGCUCUGGGACCCUCAGGAGAGAUUGAGUGUCGACGAGGCUUUGCAGCAUCCUUAUUUCCAACCUCUUCCCAAAGGAUGAGUUCUUCAAACAAUGCACUUCAUUCACCAUUUUACAAAAUAUGAACUUCUUUUGUCCGCAUAAAGGGAAUCUAGAUAUUCCUGUUUCGAAAUGGAUCAAAAAUGAAGGUUUCAUACGUAUUUGGGUCACUUAAACCAAAAUUUUCAGACAAGGAAUUAAAAAAUUUUAGGAUAGGGAACAUGUCGGAGACCCGCUUCAACGACAACAAAAAAGUGCAAAAUACAAGAAGGUAUAAGAAAGAUUCCAUUUUCCUGUAUUUACUUUUGACCGGUAUCGAGAUUCCAUUUCCUUGUGAAUCGUGAGUUGUGCCUCCUGGCAGUGCGCACGCCACUGGCCGAGUGUCAGACUGAUGGACUAUAGGAAUUUACUAACUCUGGUUCCGAGCUAAAUGUGAUAGGAUUGGAUUGCUGUCUAUUCUGCCAAUAUGAGCUUGCCAUUUUAGCCACAACGAUGAGGCUGUUGACUGAGGUACUACUUUUUAUAGCAAAAUUUUUUAUUUUUUAUUGUUUGAACUUGGGACCAGAGAAUUUGAACAUAUAACCUCAAACACAAUAUGUAAAUGUAAAAUUACUGAUAAGUUACAUCAGCAAGUGAAUCGCUAUUUAU